UACGAGGGAUCCUAGCGUUGUUCGGAAUCAUUGGGCGUAAAGGGUGCGUAGGCGGCUAAGUAAGUCAGUUGUGAAAGCCCCGGGCUCAACCCGGGAAGUGCUUCUGAUACUGCUUAGCUUGAGUAUUGGAGAGGUGAGUGGAAUUCCAGGUGUAGUGGUGAAAUACGUAGAUAUCUGGAGGAACACCGGCGGCGAAGGCGGCUCACUGGCCAUAUACUGACGCUGAAGCACGAAAGCGUGGGGAUCAAACAGG
rnacentral:rRNA from 1 species